UUUCAGUUUCCUCCUAAACUCUUAGCCCCAAAUUUGCUGAACUUUUCAUUUUCAUCUUCCCCAAAAUCUCAACCAACCUUCAAUCUCCAUCUCAGUUUUAUUUCCCCCAAUUGGCAUUCCAUCUCAGGUUCCUUAAAAUCGCGCCUUCAUUCAUCUAGAUGCGAAAAAACUCCAAAAUUACUCAUCUUGCGAAAAACCCCAGAUCCCUAAAAUCACUUGAAGCCUUACGUGAUCAAAAAACUUGAAUUUGAAAUCAAAUCCUUGCAUAUUGCUUUGCACCUUGCUGCCGAACGAGGAGGAGGAAGGAGGUGCCGUGUAACGUCGGUGGCGAAGAGUCUCCGGUGAAAACGAGGAGGUGGAGGAGGCGCGCUUCACAUGGACGACACAAUUCCUGGAAGCUCCGACGAGUUCCUGAAACGUGUUUCCUCCCGUGCUUAUGACAUGCGCAGGAAUCUUCAUCAGUCUUUUGAUUCUAGUAGCUACGACGGAAAUUUUUUCUCUACUUCAAGAGAACGAAACUUUGCUGAAAUUGAAUAAGAAGCUGAAUCAAGAAAAGGAAACCUUGUUGAAGAACAAGGAUUUGACAGAUACUCAAAUUGGAAAGUUAACUAAAUCCUUGGAGGCAAUGCAGAAAGAUAUCAGAGACAAAGAGAAUCAGGUGCUAGUUUUAAAACAGUCCUUGGAACACCAAAGAAAAGAGCUCAAUGAUUGCAGAGCUGAGAUCACUUCACUGAAAAUGCAUAUUGAAGGGUCUCUCUCAGGAAAUAAUCUGUCUAUCAGGGAAGUUACUAAUGUUCAAUCUCAAUCUAUAGAGAAAUAUGAGGAAGAAAUUAAGAAAUUGAAGGUGGAAAUUGAAUUGCUGAAGGAAAAGAAUGUCAGAGCUCCUGAACUUGGAAGUUUUGUUGGUUUUGCAAUGGAAAAUUUAGAGAGAUGAUAAAGUGAUCGAGAUUCACGAAGACCGAGGGAUUAGGAACAAUUCAGAUACUUGCAGAUGCUUUGUCUAAAAUUGUUCCUUAUGUCUUGAUCAACCACGUGAGAUUAGCAUUGGCUUUUCAGGAUAAACAUGCUAUUUGGAAUGCAUAUACACUCUUUUUAUGUCUCACCAGGUAUAUAUAAUAUCAUUUACCUAUUUAACUUCACAAAAUAUGUUAUUUCGACACAAACACCAUAGUUAUAAAAAUCGUAUAAUAAAGAAGUGAAAGUGUUAUAGUCAAAUUUGUGUGUCAAAUUGUAUAACUAGAUAUUUUAGAAGCCUUAAUUGUGUCAAAUUUGAUGCUCUUCCUAAUCUGGAACAGUUCAUUUACUGCUCUUCUGCUGGUGUCUAUCUCAAAUCUGAUAUAUUACCUCAUGUUGAGAUUGAUGCAGUUGACCCUAAGAGCAGACACAAGGGAAAGCUUGAAA